rnacentral:rRNA from 1 species
AAUUACCCAAUCCUGACACAGGGAGGUAGUGACAAGAAAUAACAAUACAGGGCAUAUGUCUUGUAAUUGGAAUGAUGCCGACUUAAACCCUCGGCAGAGUACCAAUUGGAGGGCAAGUCUGGUGCCAGCAGCCGCGGUAAUUCCAGCUCCAAUAGCGUAUAUUAAACUUGUUGCAGUUAAAAAGCUCGUAGUUGAAUUUGAGCUUGCGCGCGCAGCCGUUUUCGGAUUUCGCCGCUUGCUUUUUUGUUACUUUGAGAAAAUUAGAGUGUUUCAAGCAGACUUUUGUCUUGAAUACUUCAGCAUGGAAUAAUAGAGUAGGACCUUGGUUCUAUUUUGUUGGUUUUUGAGCCUUGGUAAUGGUUAAUAGGAACGGUUGGGGGCUGCGUAUUUAA